GUGCUCGCUUAGGCAGCACACAUACUAAAACUGGAACAAUACAGAGAUUAGCAUGGCCCCUGUGCACGGAUGGCAUGCAAAUUCGUGAAGCAUUCCAUAUUUUA